GCGAUGUAGAUUAGCAUGCGUGCGCAAGACAAACGGUCUCCGGGGGGCAAUUUCCUGCGGGAAAGGCAUGGGUGGGUUUGCCAGUAAGGCCUAAACAUAAUUCCCCCCGCAUAGACCGAUGAAUCAGCGAACGGCUCCGCAUAUCUGUUGUAACCUAUCGUGGUAAGUAAGGCGUGGAUAUAGCACGGAAAAGCUGUGUGUAACACAGUUGAAUGGGGCUUUCUCUCCCUCGGCCGAGUGCCUCUCGGUCCGUUUGGGUUAACUGGAGCUGGCUGUUCUUGACCAGUUAGCCGCUCCGGCCUCGCUAAUCCUCCUAUAGUAUGCUGUGGGGAGUGGUAACGCUGCCAGUAGGCCGCCCGCCCCACAGCGAAAACCGGAGGCCUCUUCUGGGGCACUCUCCCGACCGGGUACCACGCCCAGCCCGAGAGGCUUCACGCAAGGAUGGUGCUGGGAUUUGGCCCGGAUCGCGCUGCCCCACAAAAAGAAGAGUCUAACCACGAGCGCACGAUGGGCUUCAGACCUAUCAGCUUGAUGGUAGGGUAUUGGCCUACCAUGGCUAUGACGGGUACAGAGGUUU
rnacentral:rRNA from 1 species